rnacentral:lncRNA from 1 species
AUGAGUCAAAAUUGUGUGUGUAACCUGAAAAACAGUGAUCGUUUGUCUGUGCUUUGUCCUCAGGUGUUACAGUUAUGUCAAAGAGCUGAAGACAUCUCUAACAAUAUGGAGUCUGGAGAGCGGCUGGCCUCCCCUGCGCCCACCCUGUCUGCUGCUCGCACCUCCUCCCCUGCGGCCUCUUCCUCCUCUUCGUCCUCCUCUUCCUCCUCUUCGUCGUCGCCUGCUCCCCACUCUAAGAGCAGCCUGGCCCCGAGCCCAUCAGCGCUGGGAUCCCCCCUUAACACGUCUGGUAAGGGACAUUUCUGCCUUGACUUUUUUUCUUUAAAAAAAAAAAUAAAAGUAUUGCACGAAAGGAAAAAUCCCAACGAAAGUCCAAAAAGACUCACCUUCAUGCCAUGACGGCAUUCAGCGUUCUGCUUUCUACAACAUUAAAAUGAGUUUAGUAUUCAGUUAUUUUACAGGCAGUGUAAAUACACCUUUCUCCCUCCAACAAGAAUAUCUUUUUUUUCCCAACCCCCAACAGCUUGGGUUGCAAUUGAAAAGCUGCUGCAUUAAUGAAUCCCAAACAAUUAGGGGGUUCUUUUGUGAGAAACACACAUGCUUCACCAUGUCUCCUGACAACCUUCAGCUCUCUGGCUCCAGCUGCCCGAGAGUCAGACUCCCAACGCCACAGUGCGUUUGUGUGUGUGCAUGUCACAGGAGGAAGAAGCCCAUGCCAGCUUGAUUUAACUAGCCAGUAGCCACUCAGUGUCAAGUCAGCCCUGUCCAGAGUCCAGCGUCUCCUCUUAUGUGGGGGUCAAAACUAUUAGGCAAGAGGUGUGUGUUGUGUUUUUUUUUUAAUCUUGUAAUAAGGAUAGUUGUUUUCUGUUUUUCACCAGAAGGAGGAAGAAGAAAACUGGCUGUAGCAUCCUCUGUGUUACCCCAAAGUAGGAACCAUCAGUACCUCUUUCUCUUAUGCAUUAUACAUUCUUGUCAUCCCGCUGCACCAUUAAGAUUUUCAAGAUAAGCAAUUUUCAACUAAGCGUCAAAUGAAUUGCUUAGAUCCAGAGACUUCCCUCUGAACUUCUACUGUGUUUUGUAGGAAUAAGGCAAAUUCAUCUUUUUUUUUCUCUUUUGUUGCGUCCAAACUGUAGCUCAGAGAUAUAUUAUUUAUAAAGAAAGUUUAAAAAAAAAAAGGAGGAAAGCAAGUAAAAGUCGACUCAUUUCCUCUUCUAUCUCCCAAGUGUCGCUAAUAUAGAGGAAAGCAUUGUGGAGCCGAGCAACAAAAACAUGUCAAGUGUACUGUGUAAGUAAGUGCUAUCCAUAAUGUAAAUAUUGAAUACUUUUGCUAUCAUGGCGUCUUCAGGCAUUGAUUUAAAAUCCUUUGCCGUGGUGCCAGUUGCACAUUAAACAGACUCAGAAGAACAGAGGAAUCGGCACAAACUCUGUCGGUAUGCGCGCGUGUCAUUGAUGAGGAUAUCACUUGGAGAAGAAAAGCUGAUCAGUGCCUGUGGCACUUUCUCCUUCUGGGAUCAACUCACGGAUGCAAUUAACUUAAAUCUGUCUGUGGAAAUUUGAUUGACUGCAACAAACAACAAAUUAAUCCCCCUUCGGCAGCACCCAAACAUGAAAAAAGCAGGCGGUGCAGUUUGUCAGAGCGCAGGAAAGAUUGAAGGAAAAGAAAAAGAAAGGAGGGCAAGAGAGUGAAGAGACACAGCGAGGAAGAGUUUGUAGGUAAUCCUACGUAUGUGUUUCCUGCACCUCUACACCACUGCAAAUUUUGUCGAUUUAAUUAUUCGCCUUCUGGAAGCAAGCAUUAAUAUGGAAGAGGCCUUUGCAGAUGUCACUUUGUGCUGCCUAGAAUGGAAGGCGGGCCUGAAAGGGAGAGGUGGGCACCCUGGGCAUAAGUGACUGCUGUUGCUGGCCUUUCUGGGGGGGUUGCACUGCAGUCGUUUAUCUUGGUAUCCACUAGCUGACGCUGGCAAGGUGGGCUUUACAUAUUCAGCAUAUUCUAAUGACAUUCAAAAGACAGGAUUUGCUGUCUUGUGGCAGUGAGAGACCUUGACGCCAACACAAAGGGCUAUACUCUCAUGUGUCACACUGCCAGCAUGCUCGCAAGGCCACAUAACCCCAGACAGUAUGAUUCACACUCUAAAAAAUAAAACCCUGUGAAAAGCAGCUGCUCUUUUCAAGUCUUAAUAACAGUUUUGGGGUGGAACACAUGUAAGUAGCUCCACUAUUAGGUCCUUGACUUUAUAAGCUCAGAAAACAAAAAUGCUCCAGUGUCACUCUUUACAUUUUUAUACACUGUUCAUCCUAGUUAGACAUUUUUAUCCGCUCCGUGGGCUACAUUUCCCUUUUCUACAGUCAUCAGUUUUUCUUUUUUUUCCCCUUUUUUUUUUUGCAUGUGUAUUACCUUCCUCAUGCAGAGGCAUCAAGCAGGCUUGCACUCUUUUUCUGGAAUAGAAAUUGAAUUUGCAUGAAAUAUGCUCACACCAAAUUGCAUCUGACUCUGGAAGGAGGUAAUACGUGGCAGUUGCCCCUGCCAGAAAUGAUUGUGCUCAGAAAAAUGCUAGACGAUGAUGAUUUAGAUGAAGUAUUCUUCUGUGCUGAAAUUGAAUGCCUAAAAGGAUGGAAAGGAUGUUAGCUUUUUUUUUUUUUUUUUUUUUUUUUUUUACAACUUAUGUUGAUGUUUCCCUUUUUCUGUCCCUCACCAAUAAUAUCCAUUCUUUGUUUGGGUGCAGCACUUUCCAGCACCUAUUUUAAGCUGAUUUAUCAACACACACAUACAAAAGCUCUGUGCUGGAAUUUAAAUAUAUCAGACUGCUCUGUAAAACAAACCUGAAGUCUAUUCCCAAUACAUCAAACUGAAGCAUUAGUCUUCUGUUCCUACAAACACUAAUAGCGUUUAAACAUAAAUACAUCGAUUAGAGUAUAAACCUCACACAAAUCUGAACACAGUACGAUUUCAUUGAACUUUCUUCCUCUUUUUCUUCUAGUCAGUGGGAUAAAAAUGAGGUACUAAAAGGUAUUUUUAAGGGAGUGUAUAAAAAUCUAGUUUGUCCGUGCUCUCAACUCUUAGUUCUCAGAGCAAAUGAACCCAACUAGCUAUAAAAGAGGGGUUUUCGGGGAGGUGAUCUAAAAGUAGUAAAGAAUAAAUAAAUUCUAAUUUGAAUUACAGUGUUCCUUCAUUUAUCGUAGAAGUGGCGUUUUCCCAAUAACUUGCGACAGGUGAAAUCCGCUAAGUAGGAUUACACUUGUUUUAAGGCAGUAAAACGCUUCACCACACAAUUUAUACACUUUUUUUGAGACGGGCAUGAAUAUUUUCAGACUUUUCUCUCUUAUUUAAACUCUCAAAGUUUAAACCUUCAUAGUAAAAGAAGUCCAAUGUCAUAGAAUAAAAGCAAAUCUAAUGGAGUUGUUCGUUUCUGUACCAUAGGCACGGCACGGAGGAUAUUCAGGUCUUUAGCUAAUCAGGACGUAAAACAGUACACUGGUUAAUAAAAAAAAACGCGAUAUAGUGAGGAAAGCUUUUGUUUUUGUGCACAUUUACAUGUUUUUUUUGUCUCAUUCUCAGCUUACGUUUUCUUUUUUGACAGUGCGUCCAUUGGGCUCCUCUGUGCAAAAUAAACUUGAUUUUAGUGCAAACACAAAUGACUCUUCAUGUGAUCAAAAACCUUGAGUUUGAACCUUAUUUUUGAAACUUUAGAAAAGUAAUUUUGGAAUGUAAAAGGUAGCGGUUUCUU